rnacentral:rRNA from 1 species
UAGGGAAUAUUGGGCAAUGGGCGAGAGCCUGACCCAGCCAUGCCGCGUGCAGGAUGAAGGCUUUCUGAGUCGUAAACUGCUUUUACCAGGGAAGAAAAAAGGGGAUGCGUCCUCUACUGACGGUACCUGGUGAAUAAGCACCGGCUAACUCCGUGCCAGCAGCCGCGGUAAUACGGAGGGUGCAAGCGUUGUCCGGAUUUAUUGGGUUUAAAGGGUGCGUAGGCGGCCGUUUAAGUCCGGGGUGAAAGCCCACUGCUCAACAGUGGAACUGCCCUGGAAACUGGACGGCUUGAGUACAGACGAGGGUGGCGGAAUGGAUACUGUAGCGGUGAAAUGCAUAGAUAGUAUCCAGAACACCGAUUGCGAAGGCAGCUGCCUAGACUGUAACUGACGCUGAGGCACGAAAGCGUGGGGAGCGAACA